rnacentral:rRNA from 1 species
UGGGGAAUAUUGCACAAUGGGCGAAAGCCUGAUGCAGCAACGCCGCGUGAGUGAUGAAGGUCUUCGGAUUGUAAAGCUCUGUCUUUUGGGACGAUAAUGACGGUACCAAAGGAGGGAGCCCCGGCUAACUACGUGCCAGCAGCCGCGGUAAUACGUAGGGGGCAAGCGUUGUCCGGAUUUACUGGGUGUAAAGGGCGCGCAGGCGGAAUGGAAAGUCAGUGGUGAAAUCCUACAGCUUAACUGUAGAACUGCCUUUGAUACUUUCAUUCUUGAGUUCGGGAGAGAGAGACGGAAUUCCAGGUGUAGUGGUGAAAUACGUAGAUAUCUGGAAGAACACCAGUUGCGAAGGCGGUCUCUUGGUCCGAUACUGACGCUGAGGCGCGAAAGCGUGGGGAGCAAACA